rnacentral:rRNA from 1 species
UACGGAGGAUGCAAGCGUUAUCCGGAAUGAUUGGGCGUAAAGCGUCCGCAGGCGGCAAUGUAAGUCUGCUGUCAAAGCGUCUGGCUCAACCAGAUAAAGGCGGUGGAAACUACAUAGCUAGAGUAAGGUAGGGGUAGAGGGAAUUCCUGGUGUAGCGGUGAAAUGCGUAGAGAUCAGGAAGAACACCGGUGGCGAAAGCGCUCUGCUGGACCUUAACUGACGCUGAGGGACGAAAGCUAGGGGAGCGAAUGGG